GCUGAGCUGUUGAAGCAGGGGCAGGAAGUGAAGUCAGGGAAAGAAAAGGUGCCAAAAAAUGGAAGUAAAGAAAGAUGAACAGAAAGAAGGGGAGAAGAAGGAAGAGGGAGUAAUAGAGGGGCAACAGACAGAACAGGAGAGUUGAAUCCGUCUGAGUUGAACCUGUGUGAGGACUUGAGGGACCUGAGGGUGGAGCUCUCCACACUUUAACCAGUCGAGCUAAAGCCAGCCUGCCCCUCACACACGCUGGACCCAACCUGCUCAACUUCUGGCUGCCGCUGAACCAACACGGAAAUGUGAACACACACACUGCAGGAACAGUUUCUGCUGAGUGAUUCAUUCCAGGAAACCCAGUGUCUCUACUCUCUGGUCCGUCAGUGAUAGGAGCAAGGUGUUAUAUUGCUGUAGUUCCACGCGAACUCUGAUGAGAAGGGAAUGUUGUGGUCUCCUCUCCCCAGACCCCUAAUUCCCAUCGUGGGGACAGUGUGUGGGACACUCCCCCUGCCCUGGCCGCUCGAGUCAGGCGUGUGUAUGUCUCCAAGGUAGGCAGGCGCAGGGAUCAGAGUGUGUGCGCAGUGGGACGCAGUGGCACAGGCAAGACCACCUCCUGCCAAGCUUUCACCCACACACACUCCUCAAACAGGCUGGCACGGUCGGAGACAGCAUCAGUGUGGAGUGUACCCAGGCAGUGUUUACGAUCCUGAGGUCUUUUGGGUGUGUGAGCUCUCAGCACAGAGACGCCUCAUCUCGCUUCGCUGUUAGUUCUCUCCCUGGACUUCAACCACGCUGGACUGGCAUCUGCUGUACACCUGCAGGAGACUGCUGGAGAACUGCUACACACACGCACUUUUACACACUCGCACAAACAUGUAACGUAAUGUGUACUGUUGUUUCAAGAGAGAGUUCCAGUAGACUUUGAAGCUCCAGAGACCAGUCCUGCUGUGGUGGUGUCCGCCCGCUCUACAGGUGCGGGGGGGCGAAGGGAGACCCCAGAGGACUGCUGUGGGUUCUGGAUGAGGAGAGGGUGACUCCUGGAUCGACAGAAAACACUGUCCUGGAGAGAGUCUGCCAGUACUACGGUGAGACGGGGGGAGAGUGGUGAGGGGAGAGAGAGAACCAGAGAGAAAAGGGGGGAGGGCCUCUCGAGUGGCGCAGCUGUCCAAGGCACUGCAUCGCAGUCCCGGCCUUGUUACA
rnacentral:lncRNA from 1 species